ACAAGCUCCAACAAAUCUGAAAUUCCGUGCGUUGAAGACGGCAUCCAUCUCACGACACAGCACGACAACCAGACAAAGUAAGGCGUCUCACGGAAUACCAGGUCAUCGGGCGACAUCUGCCCACAGAGGCAAACCCCACACCAAAACUGUAUCGCAUGCGCAUCUUCGCUCCGAACACCGUCGUUGCAAAGUCAAGAUUCUGGUUUUUCUUGAUGAAGCUACGAAAAGUGAAGAAGGCAAAUGGUGAAAUUGUGUCCAUCAAUGUGAUCCACGAGAAGCGCCCACUGAAGGUUAAGAACUUCGGUAUCUGGAUUCGUUACGAUUCGCGUUCCGGCACACACAACAUGUACAAGGAAUAUCGGGAAAUGUCGCGGACUGAUGCUGUUCAAGCACUUUAUCAGGAUAUGGCUGCCCGCCAUCGUGCCAGAUUCCGGUCUAUCCACAUCCUGAAAGUUGUCGAGCUCGAAAAAGCCGACCUUAUCCGACGACCAUAUAUCAAGCAGCUCAUCACCAAGAAUCUCAAGUUCCCUCUCCCCCACCGUGUUCCCAAGGCUUCAACCAAAAAGAUAUUUGCAGCUCAAAGACCUUCGACUUUUGCUUAAGUGGAUUUGGGAGGUUUGUUGGCGUGGAAAAUGCGGGGAUGCAGCAUAUGAAUGAACUGCGCUUAUGGCUAUUUGCACUUGUGUACUGGGCUGAUGUACUGGUUGAAACGUACCCUUCCGUUGUCGCCAUGAUCCAGCGGCCUUCUUUUUAGUCUAUGGAGCGAAAACUUUUUAAAUUUUCUAAAAUAAAAAAAAAAAAAUUUCAUGAUAAUUGUUUAUUUUAAAAUCUGGGCUCGUAAUCCCUAACCGUGAUUGUAUCAGUAUUCCGCAAUGCUAAUGAUAUUAACAUUUUUUAAAGCAA
rnacentral:sRNA from 1 species